GAUGAACGCUGGCGGCGUGCCUAAUACAUGCAAGUCGAGCGAACAGACGAGGAGCUUGCUCCUCUGACGUUAGCGGCGGACGGGUGAGUAACACGUGGAUAACCUACCUAUAAGACUGGGAUAACUUCGGGAAACCGGAGCUAAUACCGGAUAAUAUAUUGAACCGCAUGGUUCAAUAGUGAAAGACGGUUUUGCUGUCACUUAUAGAUGGAUCCGCGCCGCAUUAGCUAGUUGGUAAGGUAACGGCUUACCAAGGCAACGAUGCGUAGCCGACCUGAGAGGGUGAUCGGCCACACUGGAACUGAGACACGGUCCAGACUCCUACGGGGGGCAGCAGUAGGGAAUCUUCCGCAAUGGGCGAAAGCCUGACGGAGCAACGCCGCGUGAGUGAUGAAGGUCUUCUGAUCGUAAAACUCUGUUAUUAGGGAAGAACAAAUGUGUAAGUAACUAUGCACGUCUUGACGGUACCUAAUCAGAAAGCCACGGCUAACUACGUG
rnacentral:rRNA from 1 species